rnacentral:rRNA from 1 species
CGGAAUAAGAAGCACCGGCUAACUACGUGCCAGCAGCCGCGGUAAUACGUAGGGUGCGAGCGUUAAUCGGAAUUACUGGGCGUAAAGCGUGCGCAGGCGGUUUGAUAAGACAGGCGUGAAAAUCCCCCGGGCUUAACCUGGGAACUGCGCUUGUGACUGUCUCACUAGAGUACGGCAGAGGGGGGUGGAAUUCCACGUGUAGCAGUGAAAUGCGUAGAGAUGUGGAGGAACACCGAUGGCGAAGGCAGCCCCCUGGGCCGAUACUGACGCUCAUGCACGAAAGCGUGGGGAGCAAACAGGAUUAGAUACCCUGGUAGUCCACGCCCUAAACGAUGUCAACUAGGUGUUGGGUGGGUAAAACCAUUUAGUACCGGAGCUAACGCGUGAAGUUGACCGCCUGGGGAGUACGGCCGCAAGGUUAAAACUCAAAGGAAUUGACGGGGAC